CUGACACUCUCCACAACAGCUGAUGCUCCUGGACAGGUUGGAGUAACCAGCAUCCCUCCACUCACCAACCCUCCAUCAUCCCUGCCAACCAGCCACCCAUCAGCCAACUGGCCGCUUGUCCUCUCAACCAACCCUCCACCAGUCCUGACAUGCAGCCUCCCAGUGCCAUGUUGAAUCAGGAAGCAACCAUUCAAUCACUGGAGGAGAGAAGUAUUACCCGGUGAAGAAGGUACUGAAAAGCAAAAGGUUGAAGGUUUUAUUUGUUGUAAUUUGAGGUCAAAAAAUUUAGUUGUAAUAUACAAAAAAAUGUUGUACUACAGAGAUACUAACUGGAUUUACAAUCACCACAACUUCAAACUGUAAAGUCAUCUGACCAUAGGUUUGCUUUUAAUGGUAAACAUGUUUUAAUGUGUUUCAGGGGAACGUAAUGGAACUGGUGGAGCGGGAGCCCUGUUCCAUGUGGUAUGUA